rnacentral:rRNA from 1 species
UACGGAGGAUGCGAGCGUUAUCCGGAUUUAUUGGGUUUAAAGGGUGCGUAGGCGGUCCGUUAAGUCAGCGGUAAAAUUGCGGGGCUCAACCCCGUCGAGCCGUUGAAACUGUCAGACUUGAGUUGGCGAGAAGUACGCGGAAUGCGCGGUGUAGCGGUGAAAUGCAUAGAUAUCGCGCAGAACUCCGAUUGCGAAGGCAGCGUACCGGCGCCACACUGACGCUGAGGCCCGAAAGCGUGGGGAUCGAACAGG